UACGUAGGGUGCAAGCGUUGUCCGGAAUUAUUGGGCGUAAAGAGCUUGUAGGCGGCUCGUCACGUCGGCUGUGAAAACCCGGGGCUCAACCCCGGGCCUGCAGUCGAUACGGGCGAGCUAGAGUUCGGCAGGGGAGACUGGAAUUCCUGGUGUAGCGGUGAAAUGCGCAGAUAUCAGGAGGAACACCGGUGGCGAAGGCGGGUCUCUGGGCCGAUACUGACGCUGAGGAGCGAAAGCGUGGGGAGCGAACAGG
rnacentral:rRNA from 1 species